UAAACAUCCAACAUGGUGUCGACUGUAUCUAGCAGAGAUACCACCGAAUAUGACGAAAAGAAAAGAAAGACAAGGAAACUGCCUUCAAAAGUUACUAAAAAAGGAUCGAAACGAUGCUAUAUGCAUCUCACAGAUGUCCAGGGCGAAGACGUGCAGGACUUUACACAGAAACGGUGGGACGCUUACAGUGGCUUUCUCUAUAUAUUUUUUUAAACGCCGGUUGCAGAAGGCUGCUGAGCUGAAGGAGGACACCAGCGUGCUUUUGCACAUUAAAGAAAAAGACUGUGCGGCCCUGUAGGUGCAGUACCACAGGACCAGUUACACACAGUACACAAAGUUUUUGUCAAGGCCUAUGGAAACAAAUACUGCAACACCAGGUGAAGCAACUGAAACACCCUUCACUGACAGCUACAAUUUCUUCUGUGAGACUGUCAUCCGUCAAAGGAUUAUAGUUGACCAGGAAGUGCUGCGAAUAGACAAGCUACGAAAGACAUUCAUGGACAUAGUGAAGAAUCAAGAGGGUCUUCAUGCUUCAGAAUACAGGCAGGAUCUACUGAAGAGGCGGCUGACGUGUGACUUCCCGCAGCUCAUUUUCCACUGCCCUGCCAAGAGAAACACCAGUGAACUUGUUUUUGUUGAGACACUGUCAGCUGAUAGACUAUUAAAAAAGAUACCUCCACAGUCAGGUACAUCUACUGAGUCCACUGAGGUAAGCCAAGCUGAAAGCCAAACUGAAAGUGACAGAGAACACAUGGCUAGCACAACAUCUGGAUGACUAAAAAUCCUGCCCCUGAUAGUGUUUUGCAGAUAGUCCACUGCAGUUGCAAGACAACCAAAUGUGAAAUUGAAAGAUGUUCUUGUAUGUCUGCAAGACUGUCUUGUACAGAUUUAUGUCGGUGCCAAGCAUGCGAGAAUGUUUCAAAAGAAACAGACAACAGAGCUGUAUGGGAUGAUGACUUUGAUGAAAGUGAUAUUGAUGAGUAAUAUACACACCAUGUCACCAUGUACAGUUUUUCUUUGUCUUUCUUUAUUUUUUUUCUAUAUUUGUAUGUAUAUUAAUCUAUAUUUUCAUAUUCAGAGAGACUGCCGUAUUUGAAUAAAUGUUUUAUACCAUA